CCGCUGAAAGCAUCUAAGCGGGAAACCCACCUCUAAACCAGAGCUCCCUUGAGAGCCGUGACAGACCAUCACGUCGAUAGGAGGCAUGUGGACGGGCAGCAAUGCUUGAAGCUAAGCCUUACUAAUCGCUCGAUCGGCUUGAUCUC
rnacentral:rRNA from 1 species